UGAUCAUUACCGAGUUUACAACUCCCAAACCCCUGUGAACAUACCACUUGUUGCCUCGGCGGAUCAGCCCGCUCCCGGUAAACCGGGACGGCCCGCCAGAGGACCCCUAAACUCUGUUUCUAUAUGUAACUUGUGAGUAAAACCAUAAAUAAAUCAAAACUUUCAGCAACGGAUCUCUAGGUUCUGGCAUCGAUGAAGAACGCAGCAAAAUGCGAUAAGUAAUGUGAAUUGCAGAAUUCAGUGAAUCAUCGAAUCUUUGAACGCACAUUGCGCCCGCCAGUAUUCUGGCGGGCAUGCCUGUUCGAGCGUCAUUUCAACCCUCAAGCACAGCUUGGUGUUGGGACUCGCGUUAAUUCGCGUUCCUCAAAUUGAUUGGCGGUCACGUCGAGCUUCCAUAGCGUAGUAGUAAAACCCUCGUUACUGGUAAUCGUCGCGGCCACGCCGUUAAACCCCAACUUCUGAAUGUUGACCUCGGAUCAGGUAGGAAUACCCGCUGAACUUAAGCAUAUCAAUAAGCGGAGGAAAAGAAACCAACAGGGAUUGCCCUAGUAACGGCGAGUGAAGCGGCAACAGCUCAAAUUUGAAAUCUGGCUCUCGGGCCCGAGUUGUAAUUUGUAGAGGAUACUUUUGAUGCGGUGCCUUCCGAGUUCCCUGGAACGGGACGCCAUAGAGGGUGAGAGCCCCGUCUGGUUGGAUGCCAAAUCUCUGUAAAGUUCCUUCAACGAGUCGAGUAGUUUGGGAAUGCUGCUCUAAAUGGGAGGUAUAUGUCUUCUAAAGCUAAAUACCGGCCAGAGACCGAUAGCGCACAAGUAGAGUGAUCGAAAGAUGAAAAGCACUUUGAAAAGAGAGUUAAAAAGUACGUGAAAUUGUUGAAAGGGAAGCGUUUAUGACCAGACUUGGGCUUGGUUAAUCAUCUGGGGUUCUCCCCAGUGCACUUUUCCAGUCCAGGCCAGCAUCAGUUUUCCCCGGGGGAGAAAGGCGGCGGGAAUGUGGCUCUCUUCGGGGAGUGUUAUAGCCCACCGUGUAAUACCCUGGGGGGGACUGAG
rnacentral:rRNA from 1 species